GAUGAACGCUGGCGGCGUGCCUAAUACAUGCAAGUCGAGCGAACAGAUGAGGAGCUUGCUCCUCUGACGUUAGCGGCGGACGGGUGAGUAACACGUGGAUAACCUACCUAUAAGACUGGGAUAACUUCGGGAAACCGGAGCUAAUACCGGAUAAUAUAUUGAACCGCAUGGUUCAAUAGUGAAAGACGGUUUUGCUGUCACUUAUAGAUGGAUCCGCGCCGCAUUAGCUAGUUGGUAAGGUAACGGCUUACCAAGGCAACGAUGCGUAGCCGACCUGAGAGGGUGAUCGGCCACACUGGAACUGAGACACGGUCCAGACUCCUACGGGAGGCAGCAGUAGGGAAUCUUCCGCAAUGGGCGAAAGCCUGACGGAUCAACGCCGCGUGAGUGAUGAAGGUCUUCGGAUCGUAAAACUCUGUUAUUAGGGAAGAACAAAUGUGUAAGUAACUAUGCACGUCUUGACGGUACCUAAUCAGAAAGCCACGGCUAACUACGUG
rnacentral:rRNA from 1 species